GAUGAACGCUGGCGGCGUGCCUAAUACAUGCAAGUCGAGCGAACAGACGAGGAGCUUGCUCCUCUGACGUUAGCGGCGGACGGGUGAGUAACACGUGGAUAACCUACCUAUAAGACUGGGAUAACUUCGGGAAAACGGAGCUAAUACCGGAUAAGAUAGUGAACCGCAUGGUUCAAUAGUGAAAGACGGUGUUGCUGGCACUGAUAGAGGGAGCCGAGCCGCAUUAGCGAGUUGGUAAGGUAACGGCUUACCAAGGCAACGAUGCGUAGCCGACCUGAGAGGGUGAUCGCCCACACUGGCACUGAGACACGGUCCAGCCUCCUACGGCAGGCAGCAGUAGGGACUCUUCCGCAAUGGGCUAAAGCCUGACGGCCCAACGCCUCGUGAGUGAUGAAGGUCUUCGGAUCGUAAAACUCUGUUAUUAGCGAAGACCAACUCUGUAAGUAACUAUGGACGUCUUGACGGUACCUAAUCAGAAAGCCACGGCUAACUACGUG
rnacentral:rRNA from 1 species